rnacentral:lncRNA from 1 species
UUCCUUUAUGUGAUUUACAUUGCGAUUGUUUUACCAAUAAAUAAUUCUAAACGCGGUCGUGUAGAAAAGGUCAAUUGAAGGCAACGGUAAUGGCGUCUUUAUGUCGUUUCUGUGGAGAGCGUCUGGCGUCAUUGGUUUUGGCCACGUGACCGGAAAAGAGCGCCACAGUAAGCAUGCGUGACACGUUAGAUUUUUAUUCAAAGACACCUACCUUGUUUUAAUUAUUCUGCAUUAUAUUUUUUUCUAAAAAUUUAUACUCAAACAUAACAUUAAAUCAUUGUGAUUUUAGAAUCAAUACUGGUUUCAAAAAGUAUUGUGGUAUUAAAAUGUUUUUACAUUACAAUCUUAUGUGUAUUACUUUAAUAAUAAUUGAUAUAGUUUAAAUGUGUAACCCGGAUCAGAAAAUAAUCCAUACCUGUGCGAUGCUGAUCCAUUUGUUAACCACGUACUAUCUGUACAUUGUGUGUUAAACAAUAAACUUGUCAGUAUUCCUUUGCAUUAAUGAGAUUGUACAUUAAUCUGUAUGUACACAUUACAUAG